GACGAACGCUGGCGGCGUGCUUAACACAUGCAAGUCGAACGGAAGGGCCCUGCUUUUGUUGGGUGCUCGAGUGGCGAACGGGUGAGUAACACGUGAGUAACCUGCCCUUGACUUUGGGAGAACUUCAGGGAACUGGGGCGAAUACCGGAGAGGAGCUCCUGCUGCGCGGUGGGGGAUGGAGAGUGUCGGCGGUUGGGGAUGGACUCGAGGCUUAUCAGCUGGUUGGUGGGGUAGUGGCGUCCCAAGGCUUUGACGGGUAGCCGGCCUGAGAGGGUGACCGGCCACCUUGGGACUGCGAUACGGACCAGACUGCUACGGGCGGCAGCAGUGGGGAAUCUUGCACAACGGGCGGACGCGUGAUGCAGCAACGCCGCGUGCGGGAUGCCGGCUUUCGGGUUGUAAACCGAUUUGGCAUGUGACGAAGAGUGAGUGACGGUAAUGGGUCAAGAAGCACCGGCUAACUACGUG
rnacentral:rRNA from 1 species